UACGUAGGGGGCUAGCGUUGUCCGGAAUCAUUGGGCGUAAAGCGCGCGUAGGCUGCCCGGUAAGUCCGUUGUAAAAGUCAAAGGCUCAACCUUUGAAAGCCGAUGGAUACUGCCGGGCUAGAAUCCGGAAGAGGCGAGUGGAAUUCCUGGUGUAGCGGUGGAAUGCGCAGAUAUCAGGAGGAACACCAAUAGCGAAGGCAGCUCGCUGGGACGGUAUUGACGCUGAGGCGCGAAAGCGUGGGGAGCGAACAGG
rnacentral:rRNA from 1 species